rnacentral:misc_RNA from 1 species
GAUGAAGAACGUAGCGAAAUGCGAUACUUGGUGUGAAUUGCAGAAUCCCGUGAACCAUCGAGUUUUUGAACGCAAGUUGCGCCCGAAGCCGUUAGGCCGAGGGCACGCCUGCCUGGGUGUCACACAUCGUUGCCCCCUCUCCCCUCGGCUCGCGAGGGCGGGGGCGGAUACUGGUCUCCCGCGCGCUCCCGCUCGCGGUUGGCCCAAAAUCGAGUCCUCGGCGACGGUCGCCACGACGAGCGGUGGUUGAGAGACCCUUGGACACGGUCGUGCGCGCGCCUGUCGCCCCCGGGAUCUCCUGGACCCUCGGGCAUCGAAAUUCUAGGAUGCUCUCGUUGCGACCCCAGGUCAGGCGGGACUACCCGCUGAGUUUAAGCAUAUCAAUAAGCGGAGGA